rnacentral:rRNA from 1 species
CCUACGGGAGGCAGCAGUGGGGAAUAUUGCACAAUGGGGGAAACCCUGAUGCAGCGACGCCGCGUGAGUGAAGAAGUAUUUCGGUACGUAAAGCUCUAUCAGCAGGGAAGCAAAUGACGGUACCUGACUAAGAAGCCCCGGCUAACUACGUGCCAGCAGCCGCGGUAAUACGUAGGGGGCAAGCGUUAUCCGGAUUUACUGGGUGUAAAGGGAGCGUAGACGGCAGCGCAAGUCUGGAGUGAAAUCCCAUGGCUUAACCAUGGAACUGCUUUGGAAACUGUGCAGCUAGAGUGCAGGAGAGGUAAGCGGAAUUCCUAGUGUAGCGGUGAAAUGCGUAGAUAUUAGGAGGAACACCAGUGGCGAAGGCGGCUUACUGGACUGUAACUGACGUUGAGGCUCGAAAGCGUGGGGAGCAAACAGGAUUAGAUACCCCGGUAGUC